rnacentral:rRNA from 1 species
CCUACGGGUGGCAGCAGUCGAGAAUCAUUCACAAUGGGGGAAACCCUGAUGGUGCGACGCCGCGUGGGGGAAUGAAGGUCUUCGGAUUGUAAACCCCUGUCAUGUGGGAGCAAAUUAAAAAGAUAGUACCACAAGAGGAAGAGACGGCUAACUCUGUGCCAGCAGCCGCGGUAAUACAGAGGUCUCACGCGUUGUUCGGAAUCACUGGGCGUAAAGCGUGCGUAGGCUGUUUCGUAAGUCGUGUGUGAAAGGCGCGGGCUCAACCCGCGGACGGCACAUGAUACUGCGAGACUAGAGUAAGGGAGGGGGGACCGGAAUUCUCGGUGUAGCAGUGAAAUGCGUAGAUAUCGAGAGGAACACUCGUGGCGAAGGCGGGUUCCUGGACAUUAACUGACGCUGAGGCACGAAGGCCAGGGGAGCGAAAGGGAUUAGAUACCCCUGUAGUC